rnacentral:rRNA from 1 species
UACGGGGGGGGGCAAGCGUUGUUCGGAAUUACUGGGCGUAAAGGGCUCGUAGGUGGCCAACUAAGUCAGACGUGAAAUCCCUAGGCUCAACCUAGGAACUGCGUCUGAUACUGGAUGGCUUGAAUCCGGGAGAGGGAUGCAGAAUUCCAGGUGUAGCGGUGAAAUGCGUAGAUAUCUGGAGGAAUACCGGUGGCGAAGGCGGCAUCCUGGACCGGCAUUGACGCUGAGGAGCGAAAGCCAGGGGAGCAAAGCGGG